CGGGGGAGCAAGCGUUGUUCGGAAUCACUGGGCGUAAAGGGCGUGUAGGCGGUCAAGUAAGUGGAAUGUGAAAUCCCUCGGCUCACCCGAGGACCUGCAUCCCAAACUGCUUGGCUUGAGUAUGGGAGAGGAUGAGGGAAUUCCUGGUGUAGCGGUGAAAUGCGUAGAUAUCAGGAGGAACACCGGUGGCGAAGGCGCUCAUCUGGCCCAAUACUGACGCUGAGGCGCGAAAGCUAGGGGAGCAAACGGGAUUAGAUACCCCGGUAGUCCUAGCCGUAAACGGUGAUCACUAGGUGUUGGAGGCAUCGACCCCUCCAGUGCCGCAGCUAACGCAUUAAGUGAUCCGCCUGGGGAGUACGGCCGCAAAGGUUGA
rnacentral:rRNA from 1 species